AAGGAUAUCGCCCUCGGGCUUCUCUUCUCACCCUUUGUUUACCACACGUAGUUGCCUUGGCGCUCCGCGCCAGUGGAUCGAAACUCCUGAAUCAUUGCCGUCUGAGUACUAUUCAAUAGUUAAAACUUUCAACAACGGAUCUCUUGGUUCUGGCAUCGAUGAAGAACGCAGCGAAAUGCGAUAAGUAAUGUGAAUUGCAGAAUUCAGUGAAUCAUCGAAUCUUUGAACGCACAUUGCGCCCUCCGGUAUUCCGGGGGGCAUGCCUGUUCGAGCGUCAUUACAACCCUCAAGCUCUGCUUGGUGUUGAGCCCGCCCCGGCCUGCCCGGGGCUCGCUUCAAAGUCAGUGGCGGCCGCCGUCCGACCUUCAGCGCAGUAAUGCUCGCCGCUGUUAGGGAAGGGUAGCAAGGGCCGUCAUACAACCCCCACACACAAGGUUGACCUCGGAUCAGGUAGGGAUACCCGCUGAACUUAAGCAUAUCAAUAAGCGGAGGAAAAGAAACCAACAGGGAUUGCCUCAGUAACGGCGAGUGAAGCGGCAACAGCUCAAAUUUGAAAGCUGGCUCCUUCGGGGCCCGCGUUGUAAUUUGUAGAGGAUGCUUCGGGCGCGGCACCGGUCUAAGUUCUCUGGAACGAGACGUCAUAGAGGGUGAGAAUCCCGUAUGUGACUGGCUGCCUGUGCCCAUGUGAAGCUCCUUCGACGAGUCGAGUUGUUUGGGAAUGCAGCUCAAAAUGGGAGGUGUACUCCUUCUAAAGCUAAAUAUUGGCCAGAGACCGAUAGCGCACAAGUAGAGUGAUCGAAAGAUGAAAAGCACUUUGGAAAGAGAGUUAAACAGUACGUGAAAUUGUUGAAAGGGAAGCGCUUGCAAUCAGACUUGCGCGGCGUCGAUCAGCCUGGGUUCUCCCUGGUGCACUCGGCGCCGCUCAGGCCAGCAUCAGUUUCGGCGGUGGGAUAAAGGCCUAGGGAACGUGGGUCCCCU
rnacentral:rRNA from 1 species